rnacentral:piRNA from 7 species
UAACCGAAAGGUUGGUGGUUCGAGCCC